rnacentral:rRNA from 1 species
AUUAGAUAAAAAACCAAUGCCCUUCGGGGCUCCUUGGUGAUUCAUAAUAACUAAACGAAUCGCAUGGCCUUGCGCCGGCGAUGGUUCAUUCAAAUUUCUGCCCUAUCAACUUUCGAUGGUAGGAUAGUGGCCUACCAUGGUUUCAACGGGUAACGGGGAAUUAGGGUUCUAUUCCGGAGAGGGAGCCUGAGAAACGGCUACCACAUCCAAGGAAGGCAGCAGGCGCGCAAAUUACCCAAUCCCGACACGGGGAGGUAGUGACAAUAAAUACUGAUACAGGGCUCUUAUGGGUCUUGUAAUUGGAAUGAGUACAAUUUAAAUCCCUUAACGAGGAACAAUUGGAGGGCAAGUCUGGUGCCAGCAGCCGCGGUAAUUCCAGCUCCAAUAGCGUAUAUUAAAGUUGUUGCAGUUAAAAAGCUCGUAGUUGAACCUUGGGCCUGGCUGGUCGGUCCGCCUCACCGCGUGUACUGAUCCGGCCGGGCCUUUCCUUCUGGCUAGCCGCAUGCCCUUCACUGGG